CCUAAGUGUGAAGUGGUGGGCUUCUGUAUUCAACGUUUGACCGUCUGUCUUAUUUACUUUUUUUAGAUUAAUAUUUUUAUUGUUAUUAAAUGAUAAAACAUGAAUAAUAGUUUAUGCAUGUUUUUCUUUUUUUCGUAAAUUUUUUAAAUAAGACGGACGGUCAAACGUUGUACACGGAAACUAGUGUUUGUCUUUUUU
rfam:Oryza meridionalis cultivar OR44 (W2112) chromosome 11, whole genome shotgun sequence.